GGUCAUCUGGGCUACAACUGACGCUAAUGCACGAAAGCGUGGGGAGCAAACAGGAUUAGAUACCCUGGUAGUCCACGCCGUAAACGAUGAGUGCUAGAUAUCGGAAGAUUCUCUUUCGGUUUCGCAGCUAACGCAUUAAGCACUCCGCCUGGAGAGUACGGUCGCAAGAUUAAAACUCAAAGGAAUUGACGGGGGCUCGCACAAGCGGUGGAGCAUGCGGUUUAAUUCGAUGUUACGCGAAAAACCUUACCAACCCUUGACAUGGUGGUCGCGGAUCGCAGAGAUGCUUUCCUUCAGCUCGGCUGGACCACACACAGGUGUUGCACGGCUGUCGUCAGCUCGUGUCGUGAGAUGUUGGGUUAAGUCCCGCAACGAGCGCAACCCUCAUUCUUAUUUGCCAGCGGGUAAUGCCGGGAACUAUAAGAAAACUGCUGGUGAUAAGCCA
rnacentral:rRNA from 1 species